UACGAAGGGGGCUAGCGUUGUUCGGAAUCACUGGGCGUAAAGGGCGCGUAGGCGGCUUUGUCAGUCGGGGGUGAAAGCCUGUGGCUCAACCACAGAAUUGCCUUCGAUACUGCAAGGCUUGAGACCGGAAGAGGUCAGUGGAACUGCGAGUGUAGAGGUGAAAUUCGAAGAUAUUCGCAAGAACACCAGUGGCGAAGGCGGCUGACUGGUCCGGAUCUGACGCUGAGGCGCGAAAGCGUGGGGAGCAAACAGG
rnacentral:rRNA from 1 species